rfam:Picea glauca, whole genome shotgun sequence.
UGUCAUAAGAUUUCCCAAAAAUCAAUAUCAAUGAAGAGGGUGUUGAAACCAAGGAAACAUUUGAGGGCAUUCCAUAACUUUUUCCCCUUCAAGCAAUAUCACAGACAACCUUCCAUCCAAAGUAAACAAAAUUGAAACCCAUUUUUGAGAGUUGUUGGUGCCUCAUCCUAUAACUAACGACAACGUUAGGAAAUUCGGAGACGUCGUCGGAGGCCCCGGGAAGACCUAUCUUUUAUUUUUAACAACUUUCCCACCCUGAAUUAGGCUCAAUCGGAGAUAGGGUCCAACAGCUGGAAGAGAAUCACAUGUCUUGCGGUGUCCGAUGCACCCUCGACGGCCCUUGAAAAUAUGGAGGACCGAGUACCAUCCAUGCGCGGUCGUACUCAUAACCGCAUCAAGUCUCCAAGGUGAACAACCUCU